GUGAACACGGAGCUUGCUCUGUGGGAUCAGUGGCGAACGGGUGAGUAACACGUGAGCAACCUGCCCCUGACUCUGGGAUAAGCGCUGGAAACGGCGUCUAAUACUGGAUAUGUGACGUGACCGCAUGGUCUGCGUUUGGAAAGAUUUUUCGGUUGGGGAUGGGCUCGCGGCCUAUCAGCUUGUUGGUGAGGUAAUGGCUCACCAAGGCGUCGACGGGUAGCCGGCCUGAGAGGGUGACCGGCCACACUGGGACUGAGACACGGCCCAGACUCCUACGGGAGGCAGCAGUGGGGAAUAUUGCACAAUGGGCGAAAGCCUGAUGCAGCAACGCCGCGUGAGGGAUGACGGCCUUCGGGUUGUAAACCUCUUUUAGCAGGGAAGAAGCGAAAGUG
rnacentral:rRNA from 1 species